rnacentral:rRNA from 1 species
AGCAACAAAUGCCCUGCUUCCAGGAAAAGCCUCUAAGCCUCAGGUAACAUCAAAUCGUACCCCAAACCGACACAGGUGGUCAGGUAGAGAAUACCAAGGCGCUUGAGAGAACUCGGGUGAAGGAACUAGGCAAAAUGGUGCCGUAACUUCGGGAGAAGGCACGCUGACACGUAGGUGAAGUGGUUUACCCAUGGAGCUGAAGUCAGUCGAAGAUACCAGCUGGCUGCAACUGUUUAUUAAAAACACAGCACUGUGCAAACACGAAAGUGGACGUAUACGGUGUGACGCCUGCCCGGUGCCGGAAGGUUAAUUGAUGGGGUUAUCCGUAAGGAGAAGCUCUUGAUCGAAGCCCCGGUAAACGGCGGCCGUAACUAUAACGGUCCUAAGGUAGCGAAAUUCCUUGUCGGGUAAGUUCCGACCUGCACGAAUGGCGUAAUGAUGGCCAGGCUGUCUCCACCCGGGACUCAGUGAAAUUGAACUCGCUGUGAAGAUGCAGUGUACCCGCGGCAAGACGGAAAGACCCCGUGAACCUUUACUAUAGCUUGACACUGAACACUGGUCCUUGAUGUGCAGGAUAGGUGGGAGGCUUUGAAGUGUGGACGCCAGUCUGCAUGGAGCCGUCCUUGAAAUACCACCCUUUAAUGGCUGGUGUUCUAACGUGGGCCCGUGAACCGGGUUGCGGACAGUGUCUGGUGGGUAGUUUGACUGGGGCGGUCUCCUCCUAAAGAGUAACGGAGGAGCACGAAGGUUGGCUAAUCCUGGUCGGACAUCAGGAGGUUAGUGCAAUGGCAUAAGCCAGCUUGACUGCGAGCGUGACGGCGCGAGCAGGUGCGAAAGCAGGUCAUAGUGAUCCGGUGGUUCUGAAUGGAAGGGCCAUCGCUCAACGGAUAAAAGGUACUCCGGGGAUAACAGGCUGAUACCGCCCAAGAGUUCAUAUCGACGGCGGUGUUUGGCACCUCGAUGUCGGCUCAUCACAUCCUGGGGCUGAAGUAGGUCCCAAGGGUAUGGCUGUUCGCCAUUUAAAGUGGUACGCGAGCUGGGUUUAGAACGUCGUGAGACAGUUCGGUCCCUAUCUGCCGUGGGCGCUGGAAGAUUGAGGGGGGCUGCUCCUAGUACGAGAGGACCGGAGUGGACGCAUCACUGGUGUUCGGGUUGUCAUGCCAAUGGCACUGCCCGGUAGCUACAUGCGGAAGAGAUAAGUGCUGAAAGCAUCUAAGCACGAAACUUGCCCCGAGAUGAAUCUUCCCUGAGCCUUUAAGGCUCCUGAAGGAACGUUGAAGACGACGACGUUGAUAGGCCGGGUGUGUAAGCGCAGCGAUGCGUUGAGCUAACCGGUACUAAUGAACCGUGAGGCUUAACCUU